rnacentral:rRNA from 1 species
AUAAGAACCCGGUGACAGGUGCUGCAUGGCUGUCGUCAGCUCGUGUCGUGAGAUGUUGGGUUAAGUCCCGCAACGAGCGCAACCCUCGCCUUUAGUUGCCAGCAUUCAGUUGGGCACUCUAGAGGGACUGCCGGUGUCAAACCGGAGGAAGGUGGGGAUGACGUCAAGUCCUCAUGGCCUUUAUGUCUAGGGCUACACACGUACUACAAUGGCCGGUACAAAGGGCAGCCACUCAGCGAUGAGGCGCUAAUCCCAUAAAGCCGGUCUCAGUCCGGAUCGCAGUCUGCAACUCGACUGCGUGAAGUUGGAAUCGCUAGUAAUCGUAGAUCAGCAUGCUACGGUGAAUACGUUCCCGGGCCUU